ACGGGGUGCAGCAGGCGCGAAACCUCCGCAAUGCGGGCAACCGCGACAGGGGGACCCCCAGUGCCGUGGCACAGCCACGGCUUUUCCGGAGUGUAAAAAGCUCCGGGAAUAAGGGCUGGGCAAGGCCGGUGGCAGCCGCCGCGGUAAUACCGGCGGCCCAAGUGGUGACCGCUAUUAUUGGGCCUAAAGCGUCCGUAGCCGGGCCCGUAAGUCCCUGGCGAAAUCCCACGGCUCAACCGUGGGGCUUGCUGGGGAUACUGCGGGCCUUGGGACCGGGAGAGGCCGGGGGUACCCCUGGGGUAGGGGUGAAAUCCUAUAAUCCCAGGGGGACCGCCAGUGGCGAAGGCGCCCGGCUGGAACGGGUCCGACGGUGAGGGACGAAGGCCAGGGGAGCGAACCGGAUUAGAUACCCGGGUAGUCCUGGCUGUAAAGGAUGCGGGCUAGGUGUCGGGCGAGCUUCGAGCUCGCCCGGUGCCGGAGGGAAGCCGUUAAGCCCGCCGCCUGGGGAGUACGGCCGCAAGGCUGAAACUUAAAGGAAUUGGCGGGGGAGCAC
rnacentral:rRNA from 1 species